rnacentral:rRNA from 1 species
GAUGAACGCUGGCGGUGUGCCUAAUACAUGCAAGUCGAGCGAACAGACGAGGAGCUUGCUCCUCUGACGUUAGCGGCGGACGGGUGAGUAACACGUGGAUAACCUACCUAUAAGACUGGGAUAACUUCGGGAAACCGGAGCUAAUACCGGAUAAUAUAUUGAACCGCAUGGUUCAAUAGUGAAAGACGGUUUUGCUGUCACUUAUAGAUGGAUCCGCGCCGCAUUAGCUAGUUGGUAAGGUAACGGCUUACCAAGGCAACGAUGCGUAGCCGACCUGAGAGGGUGAUCGGCCACACUGGAACUGAGACACGGUCCAGACUCCUACGGGAGGCGGCAGUAGGGAAUCUUCCGCAAUGGGCGAAAGCCUGACGGAGCAACGCCGCGUGAGUGAUGAAGGUCUUCGGAUCGUAAAACUCUGUUAUUAGGGAAGAACAAAUGUGUAAGUAACUAUGCACGUCUUGACGGUACCUAAUCAGAAAGCCACGGCUAACUACGUG